CUGCAAAGGGAGCAGUACCAGGAAUCAGCCGCAGGGAAUUCUGCGGCAGAAAACUAUUUAUAGAAAAUCCAGAUGAAUGGGAAGUGGAUGAGCUUUUAGAUUUGAACAAGAAUGAGACACAAAGUUUUGAUGUGUCAAAGUUUAAACAAGCAAAUGUAAACCAAAGAAACGACACUGAAGAAGAUACUAUGUUAAACAACGAUAUUUUCACACCAGA